rnacentral:rRNA from 1 species
UGGGGAAUCUUGGACAAUGGGGGAAACCCUGAUCCAGCGACGCCGCGUGGGUGAUGAAGGCCUUCGGGUCGUAAAGCCCUGUCGGGGGGGAAGAAACUCCUGUCGGUAAACAAUCGGCGGGAUUGACGGUACCCCCUAAGGAAGCACCGGCUAACUCCGUGCCAGCAGCCGCGGUAAGACGGAGGGUGCAAGCGUUGUUCGGAAUUACUGGGCGUAAAGGGCGCGUAGGCGGUCCGCUAAGUUCGGUGUGAAAUCCCCCAGCUCACCUGGGGAAUCGCGUCGGAAACUGACGGACUAGAGUACCGGAGAGGAAGGUGGAAUUCCUGGUGUAGCGGUGAAAUGCGUAGAUAUCAGGAGGAACACCGGUGGCGAAGGCGGCCUUCUGGACGGAUACUGACGCUGAGGCGCGAAAGCGUGGGGAUCAAACAGG